UUGUAUUUUUGGAUAUGGUAGGCAUAUGCACUUUAUGAAGAUGCUUUGAUAAUCACUUGUAAGUAUGGAGGAGAUGAAUAACUGAGUUGUAAGCUACUAAUGUUAUAUAAAAUGCAUGAAGAGGGGAUGUGGUAGAAGUGAACUCCAUAUAGAUCAUGUAACUUUAGGUCUUUUGAAAUUGUCUUGUAUGAACAAUUUUUUUCAUGCUUGUUGGAAUUAAAGUUUUGCUGCGCUUAUUUUGAAGUUAAUGAUAAUAUGAAAUGGCUUCACCGAAAUUCUGGAUCAAAAUAAGACCAAGUUUGAUGAUUCUCUCAUCUUC
rnacentral:lncRNA from 1 species